rnacentral:rRNA from 1 species
UACGUAGGGGGCAAGCGUUGUCCGGAAUUAUUGGGCGUAAAGGGCACGCAGGCGGUUUUUUUAAGUCUGAUGUGAAAUCUUGCGGCUUAACCGUAAGCUGUCAUUGGAAACUGGAGAACUUGAAUAUAGAAGAGGAAAGUGGAAUUCCAUGUGUAGCGGUGAAAUGCGUAGAUAUAUGGAGGAACACCAGUGGCGAAGGCGACUUUCUGGUCUAUUAUUGUACGCUGAGGCUCGAAAGCAUGGGUAGCAAACAGGAUUAGAUACCCCGGUAGUCCCU